rnacentral:rRNA from 13 species
CUCAAAGAUUAAGCCAUGCAUGUCUAAGUAUAAGCAAUCUAUACGGUGAAACUGCGAAUGGCUCAUUAAAUCAGUUAUCGUUUAUUUGAUAGUACCUUACUACAUGGAUAACCGUGGUAAUUCUAGAGCUAAUACAUGCUAAAAACCUCAACUUCGGAAGGGGUGUAUUUAUUAGAUAAAAAACCAGCGCCCUUCGGGGCUCCUUGGUGAUUCAUAAUAACUAAACGAAUCGCAUGGCCUUGCGCCGGCGAUGGUUCAUUCAAAUUUCUGCCCUAUCAACUUUCGAUGGUAGGAUAGUGGCCUACCAUGGUAUCAACGGGUAACGGGGAAUUAGGGUUCUAUUCCGGAGAGGGAGCCUGAGAAACGGCUACCACAUCCAAGGAAGGCAGCAGGGGCGUAAAUUACCCAAUUUCGA